ensembl:miRNA
GUAAGCUUCGUGGUCUCUGUCUUGCCCGGACAGCCUUCGGAGGGCAAGUCAGCAGGUCAGGAAGCUAGC